rnacentral:ncRNA from 2 species
AUUGAUCAAUCUAAUUGCGGUUCUGCUUAAGGUAGAAUAAUAGGGAAUUGUGUGAAAAUCACAAGCUGUCGCGCAACUGUAAGUAACGAAAAAGUUUUUAUCAAUUAAUCCACUGUUUUGAAAAGUUCAAAAUGGGAAGGAGGUAAAAAUGUUACAAGCCAGGAGACCUGCCGAAAUUAAAAUGAUGAU